rnacentral:rRNA from 1 species
UACGUAGGGUGCAAGCGUUAAUCGGAAUUACUGGGCGUAAAGCGUGCGUAGGCGGCUUUGCAAGUCAGAUGUGAAAUCCCCGGGCUUAACCUGGGAACUGCAUUUGUGACUGCAUGGCUAGAGUGCGGCAGAGGGGGAUGGAAUUCCGCGUGUAGCAGUGAAAUGCGUAGAUAUGCGGAGGAACACCGAUGGCGAAGGCGAUCCCCUGGGCCUGUACUGACGCUCAUGCACGAAAGCGUGGGGAGCAAACAGG